rnacentral:rRNA from 1 species
AUUGAACGCUGGCGGCAGGCCUAACACAUGCAAGUCGAGCGAGCGGCGGACGGGUGAGUAAUGUCUGGGAAACUGCCUGAUGGAGGGGGAUAACUCCUGGAAACGGUAGCUAAUACCGCAUACCAUCAGAUGUGCCCAGAUGGGCUUAGCUAGUAGUUGGGGUAACGGCCCACCUAGGAGACGAUCCGUAACGGGUCUGAGAGGAUGAUCAGUCACACUGGAACUGAGACACGGUCCAGACUCCUACGGGAGGCAGCAGUGGGGAAUAUUGGACAAUGGGCGAAAGCCUGAUCCAGCCAUGCCGCGUGUGUGAAGAAGGUCUUCGGAUUGUAAAGCACUUUCAGCGGGGAGGCGUUACCCGCAGAAGAAGCACCGGCUAACUCCGUGCCAGCAGCCGCGGUAAUUC